rnacentral:rRNA from 1 species
GACGAACGUUGGCGGCGCGCUUAAUGCAUGCAAGUCGAGGGAGAAGCGUUGGUUCCGUAAGGUCCCGACGUGGAAACCGGCGAACGGGUGCGUAACACGUGAGAAACCUGCCCCCCAGACCGGGAUAGCCCAGGGAAACUUGGAUUAAUACCGGAUACUCUCUCGGGACCGCAUGGUCCCUUGAGGAAAGGUCCGCUGCUGGGGGAUGGUCUCGCGGCCUAUCAGGUAGUUGGUGAGGUAACGGCUCACCAAGCCGAAGACGGGGUAGCUGGUCUGAGAGGACGAUCAGCCACACUGGAACUGAGACACGGUCCAGACUCCUACGGGAGGCAGCAGCAGGGAAUAUUGCACAAUGGGCGAAAGCCUGAUGCAGCGACGCCGCGUGCGGGAUGAAGGCCUUCGGGUUGUAAACCGCUUUCAGGAGGGACGAAACUGACGGUACCUGCAGAAGAAGGUCCGGCCAACUACGUG